UACGUAGGGCGCAAGCGUUGUCCGGAAUUAUUGGGCGUAAAGAGCUCGUAGGCGGUUUGUCGCGUCUGCCGUGAAAGCCAGGGGCUUAACUGCGGGCUUGCGGUUGAUACGGGCGGGCUAGAGUUCGGUAGGGGAGACUGGAAUUCCUGGUGUAGCGGUGAAAUGCGCAGAUAUCAGGAGGAACACCGGUGGCGAAGGCGGGUCUCUGGGCCGAUACUGACGCUGAGGAGCGAAAGCGUGGGGAGCGAACAGG
rnacentral:rRNA from 1 species